rnacentral:rRNA from 1 species
GAUGAACGCUGGCGGCGUGCCUAAUACAUGCAAGUCGAACGAGGAACUUUAAUCUUCGGAUGAAAGUUUCCUAGUGGCGAACGGGUGAGUAACGCGUUGGUGACCUGCCCCAAAGUGGGGGAUAACAGUUCGAAAGGACUGCUAAUACCGCAUAAGAUCAAUGGGAUUAGAUGCCUAUUGAUUAAAGGCGAAAGUCGCUUUGGGAGGGGCCUGCGUCCCAUCAGCUUGUUGGUAGGGUAAUAGCCUACCAAGGCUAAGACGGGUAGGGGACCUGAGAGGGUGGCCCCCACACUGGCACUGAAACACGGGCCAGACACCUACGGGUGGCAGCAGUAGGGAAUAUUGGACAAUGGGCGAAAGCCUGAUCCAGCAACGCCGCGUGCGCGAUGAAGGCCUUCGGUGUAAAGCGCUUUUAGGGUAGGAUGAGAAAGGACAGUAAUCCUCUGAAUAAGCCUCGGCGAACUACGUGCCAGCAGCCGCGGUAAACGACGAGAGUA